UACGUAGGGACCGAGCGUUGUCCGGAUUUAUUGGGCGUAAAGAGCUCGUAGGCGGCCGUCCACGUCGGGUGUGAAAGCUCGGGGCUCAACCCUGAGAGGUCAUUCGAUACGGGACGGCUUGAGGCAGCUAGGGGAGAUUGGAAUUCCUGGUGUAGCGGUGAAAUGCGCAGAUAUCAGGAGGAACACCGGUGGCGAAGGCGGAUCUCUGGGGCUGUUCUGACGCUGAGGAGCGAAAGCUGGGGGAGCAAAC
rnacentral:rRNA from 1 species